rnacentral:rRNA from 1 species
CCUACGGGUGGCAGCAGUAGGGAAUCUUCGACAAUGGACGAAAGUCUGAUCGAGCAACGCCGCGUGAGUGAAGAAGGCUUUCGGCUUGUAAAGCUCUGUUGGUAGUGAAGAAAGAUAGAGGUAGUAACUGGCCUUUAUCUGACGGUACUUACUUAGAAAGUCACGGCUAACUACGUGCAAGCAGCCGCGGUAAUACGUAGGUGGCAAGCGUUGUCUGGAUUGAUUGGGCGUAAAGGGAGUGCAGGCGGUUCAAUAAGUCUGAUGUGAAAGCCAUGGGCUCAACCGGAGAAUUGCAUCAGAAACUGUUGAUCUUGAGUGCAGAAGAGGCAGGUGGAAUUCCUGGUGUAGCGGUGAAAUGCGUAGAUAUAAGGAAGAACACCAGUGGCGAAGGCGGCUUUCUGGUCUGCAACUGACGCUGAGGCUCGAAAGCGUGGGUAGCAAACAGGAUUAGAUACCCUAGUAGUC